rnacentral:rRNA from 1 species
UACAACUUUCAACAACGGAUCUCUUGGCUCUCGCAUCGAUGAAGAACGCARCGAAAUGCGAUAACUAAUGUGAAUUGCAKAAUUCAGUGAAUCAUCGAGUCUUUGAACGCACCUUGCGCCCUUUGGUAUUCCGAAGGGCAUGCCUGUUUGAGUGUCAGU